GGAUGACCGAGGAUGAGAUGGCUGGAUGGCAUCACUGUCUUGAUGCACAUGAGUCUGAGUGAACUCCGGGAGUUGGUAAUGGCCAGGGAGGCCUGGCGUGCUGAGAUUCAUGGGGUUGCAAAGAGUCGGACAUGACUGAGUGACUGAACUGAACUGAACUGAACUGAACUGAACUGAUUAAUGAAAAUUUGGGUUGUUUUCUGCCUUUAUGGCUAUUGCGAAUAAUACUGGUAGAAACAUCUGUGAACAAUUAUCUGAAUCCUAAGCAAUUGUGUCCCUGCUUUCAAGUAUUUUGAAUAUAUAUUUGGAAUUGACAGAAAAUAUUCUAUAUAUAACUUUUUGAGGAACCACCAUACUUUUUCCCACAAUGGUUAUACCAUUUUACAUUCCCAUAAGCAAUGCAAUGGCUUUCAAUUUCUCUACAACCUCACCAACACUUGUUUGCCUCCCACGCCCUUUUUUUCUGCUAUAGCCAUCUUGGUAGUGGCUUUGCAUUCAAUCUUAGCCAAAAAGCCAAGAAGCAAUUCAUUAUGGGUUUGAUUUGCACUUCCUUAAUGACUAAUUCAGAGAAGGCAAUGGCAACUCACUCCAGUGCUCUUGCCUGGCAGAUCCCAUGGAUGGAGGAGCCUGGUAGGCUGCAGUCCAUGGGGUUGCUAGGAGUAAAAGGACAUGACUGAGCGACUUCACUUGGACUUUUCACUUUCAUGCCCUGGAGAAGGAAAUGGCAACCCACUCCAGUGUUCUUGCCUGGAGAAUCCCAGGGACAGGGGAGCCUGGUGAGCCGCUGUCUAUGGGGUUGCACAGUGUCGGACACAACUGAAGCGACUUAGCAGCAGCAGCAGCAGCAGCAGCAGCAGCAGCAGCAAUGACUAAUUAUGCCAACCAUUUUUCCAUGGAGGCAUGAGAAGAUCUGUGUGAUUGCCAAAAGAAUUUUGAUCUUCUGAGACACAAUACUGCCAAGGAGGCAACUGCAUGCCUUUCACUAGAUCUUCAAAUUCAGCCUAUGUUCCUGAGAUGUAUGACUCUGGGAUAUUUGCUAGUACUGCCUGAGUCUCAG
ensembl:lncRNA